UACGUAGGGGCCUAGCGUUGCUCGGAAUCACUGGGCGUAAAGCGCACGUAGGCGGACUCUUAAGUCGGUGGUGAAAUCCUGGAGCUCAACUCCAGAACUGCCUUCGAUACUGAGAGUCUCGAGUCCGAGAGAGGUGAGUGGAACUGCGAGUGUAGAGGUGAAAUUCGUAGAUAUUCGCAAGAACACCAGUGGCGAAGGCGGCUCACUGGCUCGGUACUGACGCUGAGGUGCGAAAGCGUGGGGAGCAAACAGG
rnacentral:rRNA from 1 species